GAAAAAAGAAAGGCUGGAAUCAGUAAUUCACUGAGGAGGCACCAUCCAUCCUUUAUCCAGGCAAGGUGAAACUUCAUCUGGUCAUCAGGGAAAGGGGCACAACAUCUGGACAGAGGUAGAAGACAGACUUUCUGCUGCCCUGUCCUAACUGCUGUCGUCUAGCUGAGCCUGAAAACUCAGGUGAGGGCACAAAUGGGGAUUAAUGAGCAAAUGUGGAUUAAUGAGCUGUUUUCAGGAAAAGGAAAUGCUCCAGGGAAGAAGGAAGCUGUGAACUGGGAUCAAAAUGAUCACUACCUUGGGCAUCUUUCCUGUUACGCCUGCCUUCAGAAUUCACCACUUCUUUCUGUUCAUGGUGGGGCUUGUGUGCUCUCAGCUAAAAAGAAACAUGAAGAUUUAAAAGAUACAGAAAUAAGUCUGAGACCUGGAGAGUUCAUGCAUGCACAAUGUGUGUAAAUCUACAACAGUAUCCACUAUUGCUGCUUCUGAAGAACAAGAGUUACUUCAAUGGCACAGAGGUUUCAGAUAGUUGACAAACCAGCUCCUGCACACUCUGUGUUGAAACCUUCUGAAGUGUAACAACUGAGGAUCCAUUUUGCUUAAUCAGACUCUCAAGCGGGUGACCAACGUACUUCCAACAACCCGAGCAGAUGCAGGACUUAAAAUCAGAUGCCAAACUUGACAGAGGAAAGAUAAAAAUGAAACAUAUUAUUACACUGGAUUUCAAAAAAGAAGUGAAAAUAUGAAGAAUGAUUGCAUAAAAUUUAUUUUGCUUGCACUAAUAAUGUCAACUGAGCAGGAUAAACACAGCUUCCAAGCUAUUUGAAAGAAGAAAAUUAAUUAUUAUAGUGUGCCAAGAGAAUGCAUGAUGUUACUAGUCCUUGGUUUUUUCCCAAUUACAGAAUACUUAGGUUCUGGAAGAAUAAAAGUUAAGUGUGCUUGUAUUGGCAUGUAGGGAACAUAAGGUAAAUAAUGUGCAGAUAGCAAUAGAAAAUUGUGAAGACCAAAUAUUAUCACUGUGUGCACCAUCACCAAUGAUUAUUUCUCUGGAGGACAGUCUGACUCAAUGGCAGGAGGACAACAUAUGAUUAUCUCACUUUCCCUCCCCCUUUGAAAACAAGGGAUUAAUUCUGAAAUUUUAAAUUUGGGCUUACUACAAUUGAUACAUUUUAGAAUGUAUUUUAGAAUGCUAAUGUUGGUUAGAUUUAGAGAGCUCAGUAUCUAUCUUGAUCACUAUAGAUAUAUCUGCAUUUCACGUGCUUGAAACCUCAUAACUACUUCUUUUAGUAGUACCAGUUGCUGCCUUUUUCCCAACCUGGAAAUGAAACUCUAGAAAAUUUUAGUAAGAAGGCAAUAUAAAAGAGGAUCUUUAAAGAAAGCCUUCAGGGGCAGUUAUGGAAAGGUGUCCACAAAAGCCCACCUCUACCAUGAUGAAUACACAUUUAUAGGUAUUAGGAAAUUAGGAUAAUUGAUAAAGAGCACCAAUUAGGAGCACAAGUGGUGAUGCAAUUCCCCCCCUGGUCAAGCCCCUUCUCUGGAGCCCCCCCCUCAGCACUAGCUGUACUUUGUCCAUGAAAUGUAUCUCAAAGAGUUGUUCUCAACCUUGGUUCCCAGAAAGAACACCAGGGCCUUGUACCUCCCAGGGUUUGGAGCUUUGGAAUUUUUGUCUUUCUUUCUAGGGAAAGGCCAUGGAAAAACACUGGGAAAACUAGCCACUUAUACAAUAAGCUACAUAACUACAAAUAUAUGUGUGAAGAAUACAGAAAACAUAAAAAAGGGAAAAAAAUUGGCAAAAUCCAAACCAGUAUCACAGUCAUUUCCUAUCUGUAAAGACUGGUAAUGCUCCUUACUUUGGGCUGGUAAAAUACUGUUAGUUAGAGCCAUCUUUAUAAUUUAGUUCAAUUUUUUAUGCCAAAAUAACUUUUCCUCUCCCAUAACCAAUGUUACCAUAACCAAUAUUACCAAUUUGAAACUGUAGCAGUUCCAGUGUAUGAUUAUGUUCUUCAGAAUAAUCCUGAUAAUGUCAGUGUUUAUCUUUUCAAGUUGUUUUUGUUUGUUUCUUUGUUUUCCUUUCUUGCAUGUAAUCUAAAACUGUAGCUUGGAGUUCUGUGUAUGACAGAAAGAAAACUUCUACUCAGUUCAAUAUUCUCUCUUGUGUGAUUUGCAAUCCUCCAUAACUAAUCAAUAAUGUUAUCACAACACAUUUUCCUUAAGUCUCUCAAAGAUAAGAACAAAGUAAAGUUUUGGGAAGUUUUGCUUUUUUUAUCCGAGAGAAGAUUUGAGGUAUUUAAAAUACUAAAU